UUGAGCUUUUGCUGUGCUGAGCUGUAUGAUUUCUGUUUCCCUUCCACUGAAGCUGUGCCUCCAUUUUAAAGAAGUUUUUUUGCAUCCAGGCUUCUGUUCCCUGAAAUACUCAGGAGUGGUGGUGAAAUGGAGUGUGUGGGACUGGAGGAGAGGCAAGGCAGAGCCCGCUUGGAUGGUUUAAAGGAAGGCUGGUCACUUGCCAGAUCAC